GAUCAGGGAAGCGAGGGGAUACAAUUACAUGGACUUACUUGAUUUGUGCCCAGAGAAAGUUGCUAACUAUGAAGAGAAGCUGAAGAACUUCUAUACAGAGCACAUUCAUGCUGAUGAGGAGAUACGCUACUGCUUACAGGGGAGUGGAUAUUUUGAUGUUCGAGACAAGGAUGAUCGUUGGAUCCGAAUCUGGAUCAAGGCAGGGGAUCUUAUU
rnacentral:misc_RNA from 1 species